UAUUAUCAUCUAAUAGUAUAUUAACAUUGAGUUGUCUUUAGGCUAAAGUUUGUCGUCCAUCAUCUUUUAUCAUAAACUUGUCAAACAGUUCUUGGAUUACGUCUAGAUUACAUUAUGGGUAUAACCCAUGAAUACUGCUCGGUCAUUCCACACAUUAACUAAUUCAAACCUUUUGACCGCAGGAGAUACAGGAGUUAAGAGAGUAUAAUGAAAGUUUGCUUUGAGGUGGAUUAAAAGAAGACGAAGAGCAAGGAAAGAGCACAAGCCUUCAUGCUAGGGAGAACUCUCUGGUAAUGUAGCUUAAUGCGAUGUUUACUUGGAUCGCGGUUUGAUAAUAAAUAACGGGCACUUCAUGUUUUCUCUUUUCUAAAA